AUGGGCAUAGGUGCAGUGAGUGCAGGUGAGCACAGGUGCAGUGAGUGCAGGUGCAGGUGGGCGCAGGUCCAGUGGGUGCAGGUGCAGUGGGCACAGGUACAGUGGACACAGGUGGGCACAGGUGCAGUGGGUGCAGGUACAGUGGGCACAGGUGCAGUGGGUGCAGGUACAGUGGGCGCAGGUGCAGUGGGCACAGGUGGGCACAGGUGCAGUGGGCGCAGGUGGGCACAGGUGCGGUGGGUGCAGGUGCGGUGGGCGCAGGUGCAGUGGGCACAGGUGGGCACAGGUGCAGUGGGCGCAGGUGCAGUGGGCGCAGGUGGGCGCAGGUGCAGUGGGUGCAGGUGCAGUGGGUGCAGGUGCGAGUGGGCACAGGUGCAGAUUGGGAGGCACAAGCAGCCGCAACACUCAGCCACCCACCCCGUGUCUCUCCUCACAGGCUCACAUCACCCAAGAUACUCAAAGCAUCUCCCCCAUCUGCAUAA
rnacentral:lncRNA from 1 species